GACGAACGCUGGCGGCGUGCCUAAUACAUGCAAGUCGAGCGGACAGAAGGGAGCUUGCUCCCGGAAGUUAGCGGCGGACGGGUGAGUAACACGUGGGCAACCUACCCUGUAGAUCGGGAUAACAUCGAGAAAUCGGUGCUAAUACCGGAUAAUCAUUUGAAGUGCAUGCUUCGAAUGUAAAAGAUGGCUCCGGCUAUCACUACGGGAUGGGCCCGCGGCGCAUUAGCUAGUUGGUAAGGUAAUGGCUUACCAAGGCAACGAUGCGUAGCCGACCUGAGAGGGUGAUCGGCCACACUUGGACUGAGACACGGCCCAGUCUCCUACGGGAGGCAGCAGGAGGGAAUCUUCCGCAAUGGACCAAAGUCUGACGGAGCAACGCCGCGUGAGUGAUGAAGGUUUUCGGAUCGUAAAGCUCUGUUGUUAGGGAAGAACAAGUGCCGUUUGAAUAAGGCGGCACCUUGACGGUACCUAACCAGAAAGCCACGGCUAACUACGUGCCAGCCGCCGCCGUAACAC
rnacentral:rRNA from 1 species